AUGAUGGGAUCGCAGUACCGAUGCACUAAUCCUAGCUGCUCAGCUAAAGAAGCACAAGAAACAUACUGUGUUUCUGUCCUUACACGUGAUGAUGUGGAUGAGGCUGAGUUUGUUAUGUUUGAUAAGGUCGGAAAAGCAGCUAUGGGAAAGCCUCUUCUUACCUUGCUGAAGUUUAGGAACCCAGGGCUUGUAACCAUAGAAGAAAUUGCUCGCGUGCCAAUGGUUGACAGGAUUGCUCCACCGGAAGUUAAUCAGGUUGUUGGGCAGAAGUAUAAGCUCCUGGUGUCCAUUUCAAGGAGAAGCUUUUCAACCACUAGCCACCAGUUGUCAUUCCAAGUUGUAAAGAUUAUGGAAACCUACAAGCCUCAGUUAAGCUCAUCUGCUUUUGACUAUAUUCCUGGGACGUCCGGAGCAUCAUCUUCUACCUCACUAAUUGAUGGUCCAGCAACUUCUGCAAUGUUUACACCAAAUACGCCAAACAUCCAUCAAGUGCAACCUAGAAGCUCAUCAGGAAGCCUUGCUAUAGGCUAUCAGACACCUACAAGCGAGACGCGCACACCAACUUCAAAGCUCAGUGUCAAUCUCCUUCCAACUGCAUCCCCAGGCAAAUCGCCAUGCCCAACCGGUAGUGCCAGACGUGCCUUGUUUCCAGGUCUUGACAAUAAAGCAGCUCCACUAGAAGAGCCUAUGAAGAAGCCUGAUGAAACAGCAGAGGUGCACCAGGAGGAAUCUGAUGGCAAGGUCGAAGCUCCUUUAGUUGCUGUUGAGGAAAAGAAUGACAAGGAUGAGCAGAACCAGACGACCAAAAACAAAAGGAACCCUACUGCUAGAAAGGGGACUGGGACAGGAAAGAAAUCAAGGCAGUAA
rnacentral:rRNA from 1 species